rnacentral:lncRNA from 1 species
UAGGCACUUGCAAAGUAUCCCCGUUGUAAUAUCUAGACCAAUCUCUGCCAGUAAAUUAAUGUGAUAUUUCCCCUGGUUUGAUCUUUGUUCUUGUAUUUGUGACUUCCGCUUAUGCAACUAGAGGUUGUGUAGGUACCAAUUAUUUAUCUGCACCUCUCGUGGUUCUCUUUUGGGUGCUUUUGUGAUGAACUGGAAUUGUAUGCAGUUUAUGGUAGUUCUGUAUUUGGACUCAUCAUGUUUCACGUAAUGCUUUGUGACCCGGAUAUUCAAAAUGGAGCAAGAUAAAAAUCUCUAACAUACUCCCUCUGUUUCUUUUAGUCUGCAUAUAAGGUUUGAUCAAAGUCAAACUUUGUUAACUUUGACUAAGUUUAUAAAAAUAUAUAUCAAGAUUUAUAAUAUGAAAUCAAUAUUGUUAGAUGCAUCAUGAAAUUAAUUUUCAUACCAUAUAGCUCUAGUCUAGUAUUGUAGAUGUUGAUAUUUUUUUUAUAAAGUUGAUCAAACUUUAUAAAGUUUGACUUUGACCAAAUCUUAUAUGCAGACUAAAAAGGAAUGAAGGGAGUAGUAAAAUAGAGACGUUUCUCAAAAAUAAAAAAAGCUAAGUAGAAACCUCCUCCACCUCUCGCUCGUGUCAUUCUCUUCCGAGGCGACCAGGGGCCCCAAAACCUAGUGUCGCCAGGCCAGCCACCCCUGCUCCCCUCCCAUCGCUGCUGGCGGGAUGGGGGACCUCUGGCUGUAGCUUAGGGUCCCGGGGAGGUGGCCUCGUUCUUCGUGGUGAGUGGUGACGGCAGCUGCUACGGCCGCUAGAGCGGCAUGCUGGUCACGCUUAGGCUACGGCAUUGGUGUCGUCGCUUUCAUACCUUGAAAAGCACUGGACCCGUUUGUGCGCUUCAUGGCUGGACGCUUGGGGCAUUGUGGCUGACGGGUGUUUGUCCGACAAUGUGGAUGUUGUGUGACUUGUGUGGCAAAGGAGGUGCCCUGCGGUGCGGAAUUGGCCUACAACCAAGCUUUGGUAGUCGGUCUCGUCAGAUGCCAGGGGUCGUCGUGCCUCACUCGUCUUCCUGAAAUCGGAGCUACAAAGGAGGUGCCCCACGGUGAUGAUAACAUGAGACGGGUGGUCGGUACCUGUGCCGGCUCGGCGUAGGCUCAACGCUUUUCCUCUGCAAUGCUCGUCGACGGAGUUGGAGUUGUCUGGUCGCCGACGCGUGUGAUUGACUGUUCGGCAUCGGCCGCUCAGGCGUUUGUGCUUGUUUGAGGUGGGGGCUACAUCGGUGGUCAUUGAUGAAGGAGUUGGAGUCGCCCUCGCGAAGGAGUGAUAACGAUGACACCGGAAUGCAACCUCACUGACGUUUUUCUCCUCGACGACGUGUGUGCAUUCUUGUAUGGGUUGCCAGGUUGCCCCGUAUGCCUUUUCUUGCAGGCACGAUGUGACAGAUUUGCCCUGUUUGUUGUUAAUUAGUCGGACAACUCUCUUCUUGCCUGAUGAAUUCUAGACCCUUGGGGCCGGCUUAAAAAAAUGUAGCUUAAUUUCAUAUGCACCCAGAUGAAUCGAUGGAUCACUGAUUUUGUCUUUUUCGUACAACACCCUGAAUAUCAUUUCUUCAUUAAAAUGUGUAUAUAGUUUUCUUUAGAGUACGCAUAGGCGUUUCAUAUUUUAAUAGAAGGCAGAAGUAUCGUAUUUUAAUAGAAGGCACAAGACAAGUAUUAAAAAAAAAA